rnacentral:rRNA from 1 species
GACGAACGCUGGCGGCGUGCCUAACACAUGUAAGUCGAGCGGGGUUGAAGCGAGAGGUAACUCGAACUUCUACCUAGCGGCGGACGGGCGAGUAACGCGUGGGCAACCUGCCUCAAGGUCUGGGAUAACAGCCCGAAAGGGCUGCUAAUACUGGGUAUGCUUGUGGCCUCGCAUGGGGCUAUGAGCAAAGGGGAAACCCGCCUUGAGAUGGGCCCGCGUCCCAUCAGCUAGUUGGUGAGGUAACAGCUCACCAAGGCGACGACGGGUAGCCGGCCUGAGAGGGUGACCGGCCACACUGGGACUGAGACACGGCCCAGACUCCUACGGGGGGCAGCAGUGGGGGAUCUUGCACAAUGGGCGAAAGCCUGAUGCAGCGACGCCGCGUGAGCGAAGAAGGCCUUCGGGUUGUAAAGCUCUGUCUGGAGGGACGAAGGAAGUGACGGUACCUCCGGAGGAAGCCACGGCUAACUACGUG